CUCUGUUUGCACAGCAGCGUGCAGGAGUCGCAUUUCAGCACGGGGUGUUCUGCAAUGGUAAACGGCCGCGAAUGGUUCGUUUCUGCGUAGCACAGAAACCGCCGAGAACCUGCUCGUAACAAACACAACUUCUGCUACCACCCACUUUCCCGUUCCUGCAGAGCCCCGUCCCUUUACAGGCCUGCUCCUGUAUGGCUCGCAGCAGCUGCUAACAGCUGUGUCUGUCCGCCUACAAUAGCUCACAUCGCUUUUCUUUUGAGCCGUAUUUUAAUCAUUCAUCUGCUGGUUUCCUCUGGGCUGCGGGUGCCCGGGGAUCAUACCGUGGAGCUGGAGCUGUGCUGGGUGUUCCCCCUCCUCUGCUCCAGGCCCAGGGGCUGUGAGCACAGAACACUGCCAGUUCAGGUGCUGAGAGCGGCGCUCGGUGUCAGUCUGUCCUGCGGGGCCACGCAGACAGGGGCUGAGCCCUGCCCCGUCACAGCCGAGGGAAGGAGCUGCUCCGAGGCUGCAGCUGUACGGUGCGGGGAAGCGCAGCUGCUUUGUCACACUGUCAGAGUUCAAAAGCGAUCAAACCAGCAAAAACAUGUCAGACUGCUGCUUAAUUAGAGCGUGAAGACACACUUUGUUGGAGAGGACAGAAAGGGAAUCGUGGUGCUGCGUUUGGACUCCUGCAAAGUCGAUCCCAGUGCCCAAGGCUUGCAAUGCUGCUGCUCGUGCUGGCAAGCUCCGGUAAAGCCCAGAGGACAAACCCAGGUGUGAAUGCAGACCUGGGCCGGCCUGGCUGAGCCCUGCUGCCUGCAGCCCUCACCUGGAGCUGGAGCACCAUCCCCACCGGUGCUUGCUCCGUGCAUCACCACAGCGUGCACACCCAGAACAGCGGUGGCAAUGACACCAUCACGACGUCCUUCUCCCCUCUCUCUUCCCCCCUUUACACAAAUAAAAAACACCCCGGGGCACU